rnacentral:rRNA from 1 species
UGAGGAACCUAUCCCAGACUCUGGAAUAACAAGUGGAAACACUUGCUAAUACCGGAUGUCGUUGAAUCACUGCCUGGUGACUCAACGAAAGAUUUAUCGGUGUGGGAGGGCCUCGUGGCCUAUCAGCUUGUUGGCGAGGUAACGGCUCACCAAGGCUUCGACGGGUAGCCGGCCUGAGAGGGUGACCGGCCACACUGGGACUGAGACACGGCCCAGACUCCUACGGGAGGCAGCAG